CGGUCUUCCGCACACGAUCGUGGGCCAGACGCUCCUACACAGUAACCUGGAAAUUAUCACUGGCGAAGCAAAGUCACAGGACAGGGAGGACCUCCGCGUCGUCUGGCGGAGGAGGGAAGUGGCAGGUGAUCCUCACAGGAAUUGAUCCUCUCAUUACACUCUGAGAGAAGCAGCGCAGGUGCUCGGGCCCCUGGCACCCAGCCAUAGGGCCUGAACACAGCCAUACUUAAUACAUGUUUAUUGUAUGAAAAGUGAAGCCCAAUUUUACUGAGGAAGAAACAAAGAGGAGGAGCCAAUACUGAACCGAGGCCUUCUGACUCCAAGUCCAGUAUUCUUGCUGCUUGAACUUCAGCUGUGAAGUGUACAUGCAACUUUACCAUCCGAUGGGAAGAAGAAAAUACCAGAAUUAAGUUUCACAGAUCAGAGGCACGGCACCCACGGAGCUAAACUUACUAACCUGAGGAUCUUCUCCUACAAGACCCUACUUAGAUGGUGAGAUUGUGGACUUGAAGCUAGUGCCGUAAUGGGAUCAGACACUGGAGGCCAUUGAGAAGUAGGAUGAUCACUCUAGGAAAGCCAGCUGCCAUGACAUAAGAACACUCGGGCCACCAAUGGACAGCCCAUGUAGGAGGCAUGAAGGCGUGCCAGUCACUCCGUCAGUCACCUUGUAAGCAGAUUUUCCGAGACCUGCUAACAGCCAUGUGAGUGACCUUGGAACUGGGCUGUCACCAGUCAAGCCUUGAGAUGAUUGCAGCCAUGACCCACAGCUUGACCACAACCCAUGAGAGACCCUGAGCCAGGGAUACCCAGCUGAAGUGCCUCCAGACUCCUGACCCACAGCCACUGUGAGAUAAUCAGUGUUUGUUGCCUUCAGGCACGAAGUUUGUGAUCAUUUGUUUCUCGGCAAUAGAUAACUAAUACAGAUGUCUACCCUGAAACUUGUCAUUUUGUGAUCCUUAUGUUUUGGGAUCCUUCCCACUACCAGUGACCAACUUUUCACAUCCUGAAGAUACGAAGCAGUGAAAAUAAGAGAAUUCAAGACAGGCAAACAAACAAACAAACAAAUAAAACAUAUGCCAGGCA